AAGAUUUUAAGUUAUUAUUUAAACUAUUAACCUUCAAAGUUAAAUAAACUUUUGGGUAAAUCUUA
rnacentral:tRNA from 2 species